rnacentral:lncRNA from 1 species
CAAAGGUAAGGUUUGAUCAACGUGGCAACUGGGUAGUUCCUGCCAGACAGAUAGGUGGUAACAACCCACAGGAAAUGUAUUACAAGCAGAGAAAAACGCACUCAGUUUUCAACCCUUCGGAUAGAGCCAAAGAAACGCCAUGGGUUAAGAAACACAUUUAAAACUAAAGCAAACAAACUAUAAACCUUCUCUGGCUAUUGAGCAGAGGAAACAUAUGGAGACAGAAUUAUCCCAGUGGAGUUUUCUUUGCUAGCAGAAGUGAGAGGAAGAAGCCGCAAGACGAGUGGUGAAUAAAAUCAGCCAUAGGGUCAUCUAGAACAAGAGACCCAUCGGACGGCUCGUACAGCUAUUUUUACUUUCUAAUAAAGAGAGGAUGUCACAUGAAUUGCCAGGAAAGCAAAUAUAUUCUUGAUGCUUUAACCUUGUUUAAGUUACUUAAUUUGCAUUCAAAAUUUAAAGAACCAGCCUCAAUCCAUGAAACGACCAGAGUGUAUGUGAGAGUGCCCCAUUUAAACUGGCUACACACAGGCAAGCCUGGUUCAGAUGAACAAAAAAGCAAGUAGAAGUGUCAUCGCUUCUGUAUAUUUCAGAUCAAUAAAGCAGAAAAGUUCAGAGAUGAACUUCAGAAGCACUUUUAUGAAAUACCCACUGAACAUGCACAAAUAAUGUUUUCAUCUUUGUUUACAGAAGAUUUGCAG